rnacentral:lncRNA from 12 species
CGAGGACUCACCUUUAAAUGUGACAUAUGUCUUUUAAGAGUAAGUGAAUUUUUCUACAUAACUGUAUUACAAUGGUCAUGCCUGAAAAGCAUAAUGGUAAUUCCUAAUAUGAUCUAACAUUUAGUACAUACAAAAAUCUUCCCAACUGUGGCAAGAAUGUCUCUGACAGCUGUUUAUAUUUGUUCAUUUCGACUCUAAAGUCAGCCUGGAUUCAGCUAUGACCUCUGAUUUCAAACGUAUUUGACCACCAAGCUCUCUCCUCCUCCAAAAAGCGUUUCCUUGGGGGGAGUGCUUGGUGGGCCACACGGGGGAGUCACAAAUGUGGAGCCAAGAAACGUUCCUGAAGAAGACAGAUCCAGCACAAGACUGGUGGCUCGGCAGUCGAUACCAAUCUUUUCCCAGCUCCUCAGUUACUCUGGCCAAGCAAGCCCUGGACCUGCCUCAUAGGCACUUCCUUCUCUGGAACUCUGCACACAGUUCCCGGGGUCUGGAACGCAUCUCACCCAACAAAACCUACGUCCUCCAUGGAGUCUCUUCUGAUUACCCGGCUCUCAAGUGCUUCUCUCCCUUUUCUACAGGUACUUUCCCAUGUGCUUCCAUUUGACACUAGUUGUUGUUUUGUUUCCUUGGCUUACUUCUCAGAGGUAGGCUUCCUACCUGUCCAAGCACAUUGCUUCUUGAGAAGGGACGCAUUAGUGUCCAGAAGAGGUGGCACAUGGUAUAGUUUUGUCACCACCCUUGCUGCAGGUACAUCCCUCUCCAUUGUCAUCUGAGAUCACAGGGACUUGGGUUCUAGUCUGGACAGGUGUGGGAUGGGCUAACCUUGGGGCUUGUGUCUUCCAUGCCGCCAUCUUCUCAUCCUCCCUGAAAGUGGAUCCACAUUCUCCAAGACCAAGAAGUGAGUGCCGUCUCUGCAACCCUGGUGAACUCUGACUUCAUUGAGAGCCUGGUUGAGCUUUGGAGGGCAUUUUUCUUCCUUCUGUCUUUGGAAGACAUAAACACCAAAGGGGAGAAGACGCAGCUCAUGCACACUCACCUCUUCUAGUCAAUGAUUUAAAUCUAAACAGUUAACAGACAAAGAAGUAAAAAUGAGAGAAAGCAUUGAUUAGUCAACCUUGUGCAUCCUGUUCAGAGAUCAAAGGGGCCAGUGAACAGGGAUCAAAGUGGGGGGAAAUACUGAAUGCAACCCCCUUGGGAAGCGACGUUUCUCACGACGUGGUAUGAUUUAAUCAGAACCACUCUGUUCAACAGCUGCAAAGAGGAAAAAAAAAAAACAACCCUGAAAAUUAUUAAUUAGGUAAGCCGAUGUUCCAUGUGCCUUUCACGACAUAGAGUCAUUUCAGCAGCUGUGCCAACUCUCAGU